rnacentral:rRNA from 1 species
ACAGCAGCAGCCACGGGAAUACGGAGGGUGCAAGCGUUAAUCGGAAUUACUGGGCGUAAAGCGCACGCAGGCGGUCUGACAAGUCAGAUGUGAAAUCCCCGGGCUUAACCUGGGAACUGCAUUUGAAACUGUCAGGCUGGAGUCUUGUAGAGGGGGGUGGAAUUCCAGGUGUAGCGGUGAAAUGCGUAGAGAUCUGGAGGAAUACCGGUGGCGAAGGCGGCCCCCUGGACAAAGACUGACGCUCAGGUGCGAAAGCGUGGGGAGCAAACAGGAUUAGAUACCCCUGUAGUCCCUGUCUCUUAUAC